AUACCUUUCUCGGCCUUUUGGCUAAGAUUAAGGGUAGUAUAUGUUCUUAUCAGUUGAAUAUUUGAUACGUAGGUCAAUGACCCACACGAUAUUAACUCUAUUUUUUUAGGGGAAGGCCCAAUAAGGUAGCUUGCUACCUGGGCUUUCACGCGUCGCCUUGGAUUUGCACUAUUUUCUCGGCCCGGUGCACCCCGU